GACGAACGCUGGCGGCGUGCCUAAUACAUGCAAGUGGGACGCAAGGGAACACACUGUGCUUGCACACCGUGUUUUCUUGAGUCGCGAACGGGUGAGUAACGCGUAGGUAACCUGCCUAUUAGCGGGGGAUAACUAUUGGAAACGAUAGCUAAUACCGCAUAAUAUUAAUUAUUGCAUGAUAAUUGAUUGAAAGAUGCAAGCGCAUCACUAGUAGAUGGACCUGCGUUGUAUUAGCUAGUUGGUAAGGUAAGAGCUUACCAAGGCGACGAUACAUAGCCGACCUGAGAGGGUGAUCGGCCACACUGGGACUGAGACACGGCCCAGACUCCUACGGGAGGCAGCAGUAGGGAAUCUUCGGCAAUGGACGAAAGUCUGACCGAGCAACGCCGCGUGAGUGAAGAAGGUUUUCGGAUCGUAAAGCUCUGUUGUAAGUCAAGAAC
rnacentral:rRNA from 1 species